AUCAGAAGUGCGAAUGCUGACAUGAGUAACGACAAAGGGGGUGAAAAACCUCCUCGCCGGAAGACCAAGGGUUCCUGUCCAACGUUAAUCGGGGCAGGGUGAGUCGACCCCUAAGGUGAGGCCGAAAGGCGUAAUCGAUGGGAAACGGGUUAAUAUUCCCGUACUUCUGACUAUUGCGAUGGGGGGACGGAGAAGGCUAGGUGGGCCAGGCGACGGUUGUCCUGGUUCAAGUGCGUAGGCUUGAGAGUUAGGUAAAUCCGGCUCUCUCUAAGGCUGAGACACGACGUCGAGCUACUACGGUAGUGAAGUCAUUGAUGCCAUGCUUCCAGGAAAAGCCUCUAAGCUUCAGAUAGUCAGGAAUCGUACCCCAAACCGACACAGGUGGUCGGGUAGAGAAUACCAAGGCGCUUGAGAGAACUCGGGUGAAGGAACUAGGCAAAAUGGUACCGUAACUUCGGGAGAAGGUACGCUCUUGAUGGUGAAGUCCCUCGCGGAUGGAGCUGACGAGAGUCGCAGAUACCAGGUGGCUGCAACUGUUUAUUAAAAACACAGCACUGUGCAAAAUCGCAAGAUGACGUAUACGGUGUGACGCCUGCCCGGUGCCGGAAGGUUAAUUGAUGGGGUUAGCGCAAGCGAAGCUCUUGAUCGAAGCCCCGGUAAACGGCGGCCGUAACUAUAACGGUCCUAAGGUAGCGAAAUUCCUUGUCGGGUAAGUUCCGACCUGCACGAAUGGCGUAAUGAUGGCCACGCUGUCUCCACCCGAGACUCAGUGAAAUUGAAAUCGCUGUGAAGAUGCAGUGUACCCGCGGCUAGACGGAAAGACCCCGUGAACCUUUACUACAGCUUGGCACUGAACAUUGAACCUACAUGUGUAGGAUAGGUGGGAGGCUAUGAAGACGUGACGCCAGUUGCGUUGGAGCCGUCCUUGAAAUACCACCCUUGUAUGUUUGAUGUUCUAACUUAGACCCAUUAUCUGGGUUGAGGACAGUGCCUGGUGGGUAGUUUGACUGGGGCGGUCUCCUCCCAAAGAGUAACGGAGGAGCACGAAGGUGGGCUAAUCACGGUUGGACAUCGUGAGGUUAGUGCAAUGGCAUAAGCCCGCUUAACUGCGAGAAUGACGGUUCGAGCAGGUGCGAAAGCAGGUCAUAGUGAUCCGGUGGUUCUGUAUGGAAGGGCCAUCGCUCAACGGAUAAAAGGUACUCCGGGGAUAACAGGCUGAUACCGCCCAAGAGUUCAUAUCGACGGCGGUGUUUGGCACCUCGAUGUCGGCUCAUCACAUCCUGGGGCUGAAGUCGGUCCCAAGGGUAUGGCUGUUCGCCAUUUAAAGUGGUACGCGAGCUGGGUUUAGAACGUCGUGAGACAGUUCGGUCCCUAUCUGCCGUGGGCGUUGGAAGAUUGAAGGGGGCUGCUCCUAGUACGAGAGGACCGGAGUGGACGAACCUCUGGUGUUCGGGUUGUGUCGCCAGACGCAUUGCCCGGUAGCUAAGUUCGGAAUUGAUAAGCGCUGAAAGCAUCUAAGCGCGAAGCGAGCCCUGAGAUGAGUCUUCCCUGACAGUUUAACUGUCCUAAAGGGUUGUUCGAGACUAGAACGUUGAUAGGCAGGGUGUGUAAGCGUUGUGAGGCGUUGAGCUAACCUGUACUAAUUGCCCGUGAGGCUUAACCAUACAACACCCAAGGGGUUUUGUA
rnacentral:rRNA from 1 species